rnacentral:tRNA from 1 species
GGAGAGGUGGCAGAGUGGUUGAAUGCGGUCGUCUCGAAAGCGACUAUACCCUCAUAAGGUAUCGAGGGUUCAAAUCCCUCCCUCUCCACCA